GCGGCGGACGGGUGAGUAACGCGUGGACAAUCUACCCUGUAGACUGGGAUAACACCUCGAAAGGGGUGCUAAUACCGGAUAAUGUCGAGAAGCGGCAUCGCUUUUCGAAGAAAGGAGGGAAUCCGCUAUAGGAGGAGUCCGCGUCCCAUUAGCUAGUUGGUGAGGGUAACGGCCCACCAAGGCGACGAUGGGUAGCCGGCCUGAGAGGGUGAACGGCCACACUGGAACUGAGACACGGUCCAGACUCCUACGGGAGGCAGCAGUGGGGAAUAUUGUGCAAUGGGGGAAACCCUGACACAGCGACGCCGCGUGAGUGAAGAAGGCCUUCGGGUCGUAAAGCUCAAUAGUAUGGGAAGAAAGAAAUGACGGUACCAUACGAAAGCCCCGGCUAACUACGUGCCAGCAGCCGCGGUAAUAC
rnacentral:rRNA from 4 species